rnacentral:lncRNA from 1 species
GGAAAAGGGUGGUGGAGGUCCUGAGAAAGGGGUCAUGAUGCCAUGAAAAAUCCUCUCCCUCUCGGCAACUGGAUGUCACAUCCUGAGGCUCACUCAGCUCAAAGGUGACCUCAAAACCAAACCUGUCUGAAGGUUUUCGUGGGGCUGGAAUCAGUGGAUGCUGAAGUAGCUCUUAGCUGUGCCAGGAGGCCUCUUAGCGACCAGCACUUAUACAGGCUCACACAUCUCCCACAUCGAAAUCGGCAUUCUUGGAUCCGCUGAGUUUUGAUCCACAGUGAGAUAAGGCCUAAGGGAACUCUCUCUGGAGUGUAUUUCAUUUUGUUCUCUGAAUCAAGAGACGGAGCCCAAAGCAAGACCUGUGGAUAUGAAGAAAUGGGCUCUGAAAGCGCCUGUCCCACACGUCCCUGCUGU